rnacentral:sRNA from 1 species
GCAGACAGGACAAGGCAGAAUAGAUCCGCGGGUUGUGGGUGAUUCAUCCAGGUUUACGGCGUAGUUGGUUACUUUUAGCAACUCUUUAGGGACACUGUAGCAUGAGGCUGUGCGCCAUUCUACGCCCCCGAAACGGAGGGCCAAUUGGCUCCGGCAAGGAUCUUUCUUUCUUCUCGCACUUCGGGCCAUGACAGAUGAUGGGGAACACGAAUGCCAUAGUUAACGGAAACCGCCAUAUGAUUAUCGACUGGUGCAAUCAGUCUUUGCCCGUAUUCCCAGGCGUUCCUUGUGGCCAACACGCGACCGAUCUCCGAGGCAGUGUUGAUUGUGUUGGAUGAAGAAGCAAUUCGACCCUGAGAUCAAGUGUUCAGGCGCAUCUGAGGAUUCAGCGGAAGUUCCCCUUUGUUUCAUUACGAGAACAACCCGAGAGUGCGCCUUUUCCUUCUAACAACGGAACUAAUCUCCACUAUCCUGACCACCAACUUCCCAGAAGUUGGCCCUUUUGUUCUCUCUAUUGUUUAAAACCCACACAUUUCUCGCAAUCUUGAAACCUCAAUUACGAUAUCUCCGACCCAGUAACAGAUACAUAACUUGGACAUAUUUUAAAUUUUUAUUUUUUAUUUUUUUUUUCCCCCGUAGUAUAGUUAUCUUGUCUUUAUUCAUUGCGAUCGCUCUCCUUCGUUUGAAACCAUGAAAUUUUCGUACGGCCUUGCGCUUUGCACGCUCCUGUCGUUCUCCUCCACAGUCGCGCCGCGCAAUAUCAUUUCAACGGACGUCGAUGUAUCAGCCCUUGCUGUUCCAAACGCUUUUGACCCAUCCCUCAUCGCUGCCCGGUCCAAGUUCUCUGACCUACAAAAGCGC